CCUACGGGAGGCAGCAGUGGGGAAUCUUGCGCAAUGGGCGAAAGCCUGACGCAGCGAUGCCGCGUGCGGGAUGAAGGCCUUCGGGUUGUAAACCGCUUUCAGCAGGGACGAAAUUGACGGUACCUGCAGAAGAAGCCCCGGCCAACUACGUGCCAGCAGCCGCGGUAAUACGUAGGGGGCGAGCGUUGUCCGGAUUUAUUGGGCGUAAAGAGCUCGUAGGCGGUUCGAUAAGUCGGAUGUGAAAUCUCCACGCUCAACGUGGAGGGGCCAUUCGAUACUGUCGUGACUCGAGUCCGGUAGGGGAGUGUGGAAUUCCCGGUGUAGCGGUGAAAUGCGCAGAGAUCGGGAGGAACACCCGUAGCGAAGGCGGCACUCUGGGCCGGUACUGACGCUGAGGAGCGAAAGCGUGGGGAGCAAACAGGAUUAGAUACCCCUGUAGUC
rnacentral:rRNA from 1 species